AGAAAGUGUCUAUUCAACCACUCUAAAAUAUUUUCAACGAAAUUACUUGAGAAAAUGAUGUCAAUCACUAUGAAAUUGAUUUACUUCACUCUAAUUCUUUAUGUCAUCUUACCUUCUUAUGAAUGUGUCAAAGGAAGUAGCAACUUGAGUCCUUUGGGGAUCAUGGGUGAGAAGACAAAAUUGGUUAAGAGAUGUACAGUAAAUUUUGGUCCAUGUGACCCAAGUUGCAAUGUAAGAUGUUGCCAUGAGCAAUGUGAAGGAUCCUAUAGUCAAGGACACCCUGAGGCAACUUGCAAGUAUUUUAGUGGACAAUAUGAAAAUUGCCUUUGUACUUAUGAUUGUCAAUAAAUGAGAUGUCAAUUGGUAUCAUUUGAUUCAAAGAGUUAUUGAUUACACCUUGUUUA